rnacentral:rRNA from 1 species
CCUACGGGAGGCAGCAGUGGGGAAUAUUGCACAAUGGGGGAAACCCUGAUGGAGCGACGCCGCGUGAGCGAUGAAGUAUUUCGGUAUGUAAAGCUCUAUCAGCAGGGAAGAAAAUGACGGUACCUAACUAAGAAGCCCCGGCUAACUACGUGCCAGCAGCCGCGGGAAUACGUAGGGGGCAAGCGUUCUCCGGAUUUACUGGGUGUAACGGGAGCGUAGACGGUUGUGCAAGCCAGAUGUGAAGGCCCGGGGCUCAACCCCGGGACUGCAUUUGGAACUGUGUGGCUGGAGUGUCGGAGAGGCAGGCGGAAUUCCUAGUGUAGCGGUGAAAUGCGUAGAUAUUAGGAGGAACACCAGUGGCGAAGGCGGCCUGCUGGACGAUAACUGACGUUGAGGCUCGAAAGCGUGGGGAGCAAACAGGAUUAGAUACCCUAGUAGUC